rnacentral:tRNA from 1 species
GCAUCAGUGGUCUUGUGGUAGAAUAGUACCCUGCCACCGUACGUACAGACCCGGGUUCGGUUACCGGCUGUUGCA